CUGCAAAUAUUGUUACUAUCCUAUAUUUCAAUGAUCAGGCUAGUCACUUGCUAUAUUAAAAUUCUGCAAUGUAUCCUCAGGACUUGCUUGUUUCUCUAGUUCUGUGUUUUUAAUGGCUAGUGAUGUGU
rnacentral:snoRNA from 1 species